rnacentral:rRNA from 1 species
UACAGAGGGUGCAAACGUUGUUCGGAAUUACUGGGCGUAAAGCGCGUGUAGGUGGCGAGGCAAGUCGGGUGUGAAAGCCCUGGGCUCAACCCAGGAAGUGCACUCGAUACUGCCUAGCUAGAGUCCCGGAGAGGUUGGUGGAACUCUCGGUGUAGAGGUGAAAUUCGUAGAUAUCGAGAAGAACACCGGUGGCGAAGGCGGCCAACUGGACGGUGACUGACACUGAGACGCGAAAGCGUGGGGAGCAAACAGG